rnacentral:tRNA from 1 species
UCCCUGGAGGACUAGCGGUUAGGCCACAGCGCUCUCACCGCUGCAGCCCGGGUUCAAUUCCUGGCCAGGGAA